UAGGGAAUCUUCGGCAAUGGACGAAAGUCUGACCGAGCAACGCCGCGUGAGUGAAGAAGGUUUUCGGAUCGUAAAACUCCGUUGUUUGAGAAGAACAAGGACGUUAGUAACUGAACGUCCCCUGACGGUAUCUAACCAGAAAGCCACGGCUAACUACGUGCCAGCAGCCGCGGUAAUACGUAGGUGGCAAGCGUUGUCCGGAUUUAUUGGGCGUAAAGCGAGCGCAGGCGGUUUCUUAAGUCUGAUGUGAAAGCCCCCGGCUCAACCGGGGAGGGUCAUUGGAAACUGGGUGACUUGAGUGCAGAAGAGGAGAGUGGAAUUCCAUGUGUAGCGGUGAAAUGCGUAGAUAUAUGGAGGAACACCAGUGGCGAAGGCGGCUCUCUGGACUGUAACUGACGCUGAGGCUCGAAAGCGUGGGGAGCAAACAGG
rnacentral:rRNA from 1 species